GGCACGGUAGCUUAGUUGGUGAAGCACUUGACUAGCGAAUAGGGGUCGUGAGUUCAAAUCUCACCUGAGCUG
rnacentral:tRNA from 1 species